rnacentral:rRNA from 1 species
UACGAAGGUGGCAAGCGUUGUUCGGAUUUACUGGGCGUAAAGAGUGCGUAGGCGGUUUGACAAGUCAGGAGUGAAAUCCCAGGGCUCAACCCUGGAAUUGCUUUUGAAACUGUCUUACUUGAAUUCGGUAGAGGUUGGCGGAAUUCUCAGUGUAGAGGUGAAAUUCGCAGAUAUUGAGAGGAACACCAGUGGCGUAAGCGGCCAACUGGACCGAUAUUGACGCUGAGGCACGAAAGCGUGGGUAGCAAACAGG